rnacentral:rRNA from 1 species
GACGAACGCUGGCGGCGUGCCUAAUACAUGCAAGUAGAACGCUGAAGGAGGAGCUUGCUUCUCUGGAUGAGUUGCGAACGGGUGAGUAACGCGUAGGUAACCUGCCUGGUAGCGGGGGAUAACUAUUGGAAACGAUAGCUAAUACCGCAUAAGAGUAGAUGUUGCAUGACAUUUGCUUAAAAGGUGCAAUUGCAUCACUACCAGAUGGACCUGCGUUGUAUUAGCUAGUUGGUGGGGUAACGGCUCACCAAGGCGACGAUACAUAGCCGACCCGAGAGGGUGAUCGGCCACACUGGGACUGAGACACGGCCCAGACUCCUACGGGAGGCAGCAGUAGGGAAUCUUCGGCAAUGGACGGAAGUCUGACCGAGCAACGCCGCGUGAGUGAAGAAGGUUUUCGGAUCGUAAAGCUCUGUUGUAAGAGAAGAACGAGUGUGAGAGUGGAAAGUUCACACUGUGACGGUAUCUUACCAGAAAGGGACGGCUAACUACGUG